UUACAGCCAUAUCACAUUGAAACACUGGCUUGCGUACAAUCACCAAAGAUAAGCAAUGUUGAGCCAGGUCAGUAUGUAGAUGGGUGACCACUUGGGAAUACUAAGUGCU